rnacentral:lncRNA from 14 species
UGAAGAGACCCGCUUGUCCUCUGACAAAAGCUCCUAUCUGAUGCUGAGAAACCUACUUGCUCUUGUUUGUGUUUCUUUCCAUUCCCCUGGCUGCAAUGACCAGUUCCCACCAUCCCUGGAGAGUGCUGCUUCAUCAGUGUCAUGGGAACCCCCGCUGAUGAUGCUGCCACGUCAGCACCAGCAAAGAGUCGUCAUGUUUGGCAAGAAAUUCUUUUGCCUUCUCCUUGGGAACCACAACCCUUCCUCCUCCUUCAGCUGGAGGAAUGCAAGCAUGAGUCUGGCCAAGAAGACUGACUCUGGACACUUUUAGUACCUGCAGCCCACAGCUCUUCCUCACCCUGUGGCCGUCCCUGUGGACCUUGCACCAGAGAGCACAUCCAUACGACUGUGGCUCCAGCUUCUAUUCCCAUGCAAAACAUGACCCCUUGGCUUCCUUGAGCAGUGUUGACAAUGCUUAGUAGCUUUCCUUGCCUUGAACUGAGAGAAGAUGACCCACUGUGUAUUGGAUGGGGAGCACACUUGCUGCUGGUCAUGGUGGUCAUGCUGUCCAGCAAAGAUGGAAAGAUAUUUUUUCUUCUUAACCUCAGAAGCAUCUGGCUUUUCUGCUACUCUCCUUUUACUUCCACCAGCAGGUUAUCAGUAUAGUUUGCUAGAAAUGUCUUUUUUGGGGGGUUGGUCUAUCAGAUGCAAUGGAGCAAAGUAUGUGCUAGAAACACUCUUCUGUUUUCUCUCUGUGGGAGUGUAGCCAGAACUCAGCUGUGCUGGCAUCCAGGAGCAGGGAGAGAGGAAGGUGAAUGGGGAAGGUUUUCCAAGUAACCUGGGACAAGCAAGUCCUUCAUUGAGCACUGGUCUCUGUAAGCUUUCCAUGAUGCCAUUUAUUUACAGCUGACCUGUUGCCCCUGUCUCUGAGCCCUGGGGUCAGGCAGUUACCUGUGCUGGGUCCUGCUAUAGGAAUACUCGUCGCCUGCCUGGCGACUCCUCUGCAUGCAAACCCAUGGAUGUGCCUGUAUGGACAGCGUGGUAGAGUAGGCUGAUUCCAGAGUGGGUUUGGAUAGUUGCUUCUGAGAUAGGCU